rnacentral:lncRNA from 1 species
CGAGUUUUGACUACAGAAGAAUCAUAAGAAUCACUUGACUUUGGACAAGAAAGAAUGCGAGAAAUGGCACCGUGGCCUAUCAUUACCAUUUUCCCUACUACUACGAAAAAAUGCUGAAAGUUUAUUUGGGACUUCAAUUAUUCCUCUUUCCGUGCUGAGGUUUGUUGUUCUGGCUCGGGUUCGAUUUGCUGGCUGGCGCUGUCCUCAGAUUAGCCUUCACCAACUUCUGAGGAUCUCUCUUCCCGUUAGCCGUCUUGCUUAAACUCAUGUACAAUAUCGUGGACGACAGCAGCAUCCUCCUGGGCACUUUUGUGUGUAACGUUGGGAAAUCUUCAGCCUCUUGGUGAAGUAUUACUACCAGAGAGCACAUCACGCAAAGUGCAAGAAUUGACAAAAACACAGCAACGAAAGAUCUGCGGCUACUUCCCAUGGCAAUGUGGUCAGAGAGACAAUAGGUGGUUCAGAAGAUGAAAGCUAAAUGUCGCAGAAGUUAUUAUGGU